CCAAUAGCGUAUAUUAAAGUUGUUGCAGUUAAAAAGCUCGUAGUUGAAUUUCGGGAUUGACGUGAUGGUCAUGCCUUAAGGGGUAUGAACUGUUACUGUUGAUUUCUCACCUUCUGGAGAAACUUGAUGUCCUUUAUUGGGUGUCUUGCGGAUCCAGGACCUUUACCUUGAAAAAAUUAGAGUGUUUAAAGCAGGCAUUUUUGCUCGAAUACAUUAGCAUGGAAUAAUAGAAUAGGACGGCAUGGUUCUAUUUUGUUGGUUUCUAGGAUCACCGUAAUGAUUAAUAGGGAUAGUUGGGGGCAUUAGUAUUCAAUUGUCAGAGGUGAAAUUCUUGGAUUUAUUGAAGACUAACUACUGCGAAAGCAUUUGCCAAGGAUGUUUUCAUUAAUCAAGAACGAAAGUUAGGGGAUCGAAGACGAUCAGAUACCGUCGUAGUCUUAACCAUAAACUAUGCCGACUAGGAAUCAGACGAUGUUAAUUUUUUAAUGACUCGUUUGGCACCUUACGGGAAACCAAAGUGUUUGGGUC
rnacentral:misc_RNA from 1 species